CCAACCUUUAUGCCCUCAAGUCAGCAGCAUGGAAUUUAUUGCCUCAGGGGAUCCAGCUGCCAAAAGGGGGGAAAAAUCAAGAACUGCUCUUAAAAGAAGUUGCCCUUGCUGGUGCUCGGGGUAAACAUAGAGGCUUUGGCCCUGAGUGCAGGCGCCGGCGAGCGGGCUCCAGCAGCGGCCGCGUUGCGGCGUGAUCCCCGCGAGCUGCCAGCAGGUGCUGCUCAAGAUUCCCUCUGUUUCUCUACGACUUAAUGAUUUUAUUUCCUACUUCAUUUACUGCAUGUGCAGUUCUUAGAAUACUCUCCAACCCUGGUCCAUCCCAUCAGCAUCCACAGUUUGUGCUGAACCAAAAGGGAGACUCACUUACACAGAAAACUGCUGGUGUCCUUCAGGAACCUGCUUAAACUACAACAUCAGGAGGCCAGAACUUCUAUGUUUUGCUUGUGGGCACAGUGAAAAGUUUAUUUUAUGCAUGUUAAAUCCUGCACACAAAACAACAUAUCUAGUCAUAUGGCUUUCAUUAGCUCCCAAUUUUGCACAUUUUAUGCAACUUGUCUUGAGUACCCAGUUGAUACUUCAGCUAUAUUCCUUCAAAAAAACCUUUCUACCAUUGUUUUCUGAA